rnacentral:rRNA from 1 species
AUUGAACGCUGGCGGUAUGCUUAACACAUGCAAGUCGAACGGUAACAGGCCUUCGGGCGCUGACGAGUGGCGGACGGGUGAGUAACGCGUAGGAAUCUGCCUCAUAGUGGGGGACAACGUGGGGAAACUCACGCUAAUACCGCAUACGCCCUACGGGGGAAAGCGGGGGAUCUUCGGACCUCGCGCUAUGAGAUGAGCCUGCGUUAGAUUAGCUAGUUGGUAGGGUAAAGGCCUACCAAGGCGACGAUCUAUAGCUGGUCUGAGAGGACGAUCAGCCACACUGGGACUGAGACACGGCCCAGACUCCUACGGGAGGCAGCAGUGGGGAAUAUUGGACAAUGGGCGCAAGCCUGAUCCAGCAAUACCGCGUGUGUGAAGAAGGCCUUAGGGUUGUAAAGCACUUUUCAAUUGGGAGGAAAACCUGCCGGUCAAUACCCGGCAGCUUGACAUUACCUUUAGAAGAAGCACCGGCUAACUCCGUGCCAGCAGCCGC